UUCAAAUUUUCCUCUCUAUUUUCUCUCUUCCCUUUCUCUUUCUCACUUCCCCUACAGCCCGACACUCCCUCUCUCCCCUUCUAUCCAUUUUUUAUUUAGGUUUUGUUAAACCCAACCUCAUAAACUCACAUUUCUCCAUCUAAAUCGCACUUGACGAGCACGAGGAAAUCUUAGUGAUAUCGUUCGAGUAAAUCGCUAUUGAGGGGUCGAGGAAAUCACUACCCAAUCCCAGAAAUGACUGCUUAAGGGAUGUGUCUGAUUCCCGUUGUAGUGGUUACUCUGAACUUGGAAGAAUGCUUCUGAAGCUGCAGAAGGCUGCAGCUUAAGGUCAUUUAAGGUUACAGAAUGCAAAAAACUAGGAAGACAUGUUUUGGA